UAGCAUAUUCAUUUGACGUUAGCUGCAGAAGAAGCACCGGCUAACUCCGUGCCAGCAGCCGCGGUAAGUACGGAGGGUGCGAGCGUUAAUCGGAAUUACUGGGCGUAAAGCGCAUGCAGGUGGUUUGUUAAGUCAGAUGUGAAAGCCCCGGGGCUCAACCUCGGAAUUGCAUUUGAAACUGGCAAACUAGAGUACUGUAGAGGGGGUAGAAUUUCAGGUGUAGCGGUGAAAUGCGUAGAGAUCUGAAGGAAUACCCGGUGGCGAAGGCGGCCCCCCUGGACAGAUACUGACACUCAGAUGCGAAACGCGUGGGGAGCAAAACAGGAUUAGAUACCCCUGGUAG
rnacentral:rRNA from 1 species